UCGAGACGACACAACGUGCUUUUCAUAACUGUAUCGUUUGUGGCCAAACAUUCUAUUCAAUAUGAUGUCAUACGCGAACAGUAAGCCAUUAAUAAUUGCAGUCAAUUCGUUCGUACUUAUCGCCGGAAUAAUCUUGUUAAUUAUCUACCACUGCAACAAUAAAGAUGGUACCUAUAAAAAUAACUGAAAAUGCCUGUCUUUGUGUUCCUUACAAAGUCAAUCACACAUCGGUGGACAGCAAUUACAAAUUACAUGCCACUGAAUUCAUUGUUAUAGCAUAGAAAUAUAAUAUGAUCGAGUUACGAAUAAAAUGUAUUGAAUAACAACAA